CUUUGCUAACGAGGUGCAUCUAGUCAUAGCUAUGGUUUUCCAGUGGUCAUGUAUGGAUGUGAGAGUUGGACUGUGAAGAAGGCUGAGCGCCGAAGAAUUGAUGUUUUUGAUCUGUGGUGUUGGAGAAGACUCUUGAGAGUCCCUUGGACUGCAAGGAGAUCCAACCAGUCCAUCCUAAAGGAGAUCAGUCCUGGGUGUUCAUUGGAAGGACUGAUGUUGAAGCUGAAACUCCAAUACUUUGGCCACCUGAUGCGAAGAGCUGACUCAUUUGAAAAGACGCUGAUGCUGGGAAAGACUGAGGGCAGGAGGAGAAGGGGACAACAGAGGAUGAGAUGGGUGGGUGGCAUCACUGACUCGAUGGACAUGGAUUUGUGUGGACUCCAGUAGUUGGUGAUGGAUAGGGAGGCCUGGUAUGCUGCGGUUCAUGAGGUUGCAAAGAGUCAGACACUACUAAGCGACUGAACUGAACUGAACUGACAUGCUAUUUGGUAAGAAUAUUUCCACGGACCUUGUCGUUCGAGUGGGCUUCCCUGGUGGCUCAGAGGUUAUUGUGUGUGUGCGUGUAUGGUUGCAUGUACAAAGACAAACUUGAAUGGUUUAAAUUUUUCUUUCUCUAAUACCCAUUUAACAUAUUUUGCCUUCCUUUCUUACACACGUGUAUACACACACACACACACACACACACACUUCUUUUGUGUUGUUGAUCUACCCUGCAAGCUUACUUGCACUAUUCUAUUAUGCCCACUACAGUUUAUUUCAAAUCUUGCCCAGUAAUUCCUUGCCUUAGGGUGGAUGUAAAAAAUCAAGAGCAUUAACUUUUUUGUUUUUCCCUGAAAAUAUCUUUAUUGUCUGCCUUUGGUUCACAGCUUGGGAGAAGGCUCCAAGGCUUCCUUGACGUCUCAGACAGUGAAAAAUUUGCCCGGAAAAUGGGAGACUGGGGUUCGGUCCAUGGGUUGAGAAGAUUCCCCUGGAGAAGAAAAUGGCAGCUCACUCCAGUAUUCUUGCCUGGAGAAUCCCAUGGACAGAGGAGCCUGGCGAGCUAUAGUCCAUGGGGUUGCAGUCAGAUACGACUGAGCUACUAACACUUUCUUCACUUGGGAGAAGGCCCCAGGGUGGUUAAAAACUGCCUAGUGUCUGCAAAGGGAGGCUGCUGACAGAAGCCCUGACACCAAGGGGAUGUCAAAGGGGCCUCUCAAGGCCCGCUGGGCCGUGGGGGCUUCUGUACGUGCCUGCUGCUGCUGCUGCUAAGUUGCUUCAGUCGUGUCCGACUCUGUGAGACCCCAUAGACAGCAGCCCACCAGGAUCCCCCGUCCCGGGAUUCUCCAGGCAAGAACACUGGGGUGGGUUGCCGUUUCCUUCUCCAAUGCAUGAAAGUAAAAAGUGAAAGCGAAGUCGCUCAGUCGUCCCAACUCUUAGCGACCCCAUGGACUGUAGCCUACCACGCUCCUCCUCCUCUGUCCAUUGGAUUUUCCAGGCAAGAGUAUUGGAAUGGGUUGCCAUUUCCUUCUCCAGUACGUGCUUGAGGCUGAGCGUAUUGAGCAGAUAGAUACCCAGCCCGUGGGCUGCCAGCUGAUGGAAAUUAGUCACAUGGUUGCAAUCUUGGUGAGUUUCACCUCUCAACCCGGAAGUCCUUCAUCCCGGAAGUUAGCUAGGGGCCGCCUGAACCUGGGGCGUUCGGAUCCAAUAGGGCCUUGUUCAGGUUCUCCAUAACGACAGUAGGUUCCAUAGCGUCAAAGGUUUUGCCCCACUUGUCUUGGAACGGCUUCCCUAUGGCAAGUUCUGGAAGAGGGCUCAGCUGCAGUCGUUUGUGUGUUAAAGAGAGGCUUGGCGUUCUCACUUUUCUCCUCGGCCAGCUCAACGAAGUGGCCCAUAUCUUCCCGAGUCACGUGGUCGUAGUCAAAAUAGAAGCCCAGCGAGAGGUAAGUGGAAGGGGGCCUGCAGAGUCUUGUGGACCAGGCAGUUGCCUGAGUCCUCCACUUCGGUGGAAUAAUUCUGGGAAUAUCUGGGAAGGCCGCGGUUGAGUGAGGAUACGAAACUCAGCGUAGGUUCCAAGGUUGCAUUUGGAAAGGGGGUUGGAGUGGAGUCCGAGGCCAGGAGCCAGGGCGGCGCUGGGUCUCUUCCGUGUAAACACUGUUGAAACCACAGACUGAACUGGUGGGCCACCUGGCUGCAGUGCCAAGAGUAUUAACUUUUUUUAAAGCUUUUACUUUAUUUAUUUACUGUUUUUAUUUUUGGCUGAGCUUGGUCUUCAUUGUCGUGCACUGGAUUUCUCUAGUUUCAGAGAGUAGCAGGGGUGCAGGGCGGGCUACUCUCGAGUUGCUGAACUCGGGCUUCUGGUUGCAGUGGUUUCCCUCCUGCAGAGCACAGGCUCUAGGGUGCUCAGGCUUCGGUAGUUGCAGUGCAUGGACUCAGUAGUUGCAGCCGGCACGCUCUAGAGCACAGGUGCAGUAGUUGUGGCAUAAGGGCCUAGCUGCAGCAAGGAAUGUGGGGUCUUCCCAGACCUGGGAAGGAGCCGGUGUCCCUUGCAUUGCACGGUGGAUUCUUAACCACUGGACCACCAGGGAAGCCCGGCAGUAUUAACUUUUUAACUCAGAUCCCCAAUUUCCUGUGGUAUUGAAAUUUUGGCUUAGCGGCCUUGCAUGGAGAAUUUCUUGAGUUCAGGUCUUUGACUACUCAGCUUUUUAUCUGUAGCAUCUAGGUUCAGUUCGUGGCACCUCCCAGGUUCUCAGUGACUAUUUGUUGGCAUAAAAUGUCCAUAUAAGCAUUUUUUCCCCCAGUACCCUUGCCUCUGAUUGGAAAUCCUUUCUUUGCAAAUCCUCAGAUGCAGCUUGUUAAUUUACAUGAAAGAGAAAGGCAUGGCCUACCUGAUGUUGGACCGUCUCACUAUGGCAGUUCAGUGCUUCAGUUGUCUGUUGCUGUGUAAUACACUGCCUCAAAGCUUGGUGGCUUAAAACAACAAUGAUUUUGCAGUUUGGAUAGGAUUUGGUAGAGCUCAGCUCUGUUCCAUGUGUCGCCAGCUGGGGUGUUUUAACUGGGGUUGGAGGAUAUACUUUCAAGAUGGUGCACUCGGCUAACUGGCAAGUUGGUACUGGCUAUUGACUGGGGGGAGCUCAAGUGAAGACUGCCAACCAGAGGUUUGGCUUAUAUUUCACAAGAGCUGUUUGGGCUUUCUUACAACAGUGGCUAGAUUUCAAGAUGUAGAAACUACCCCGCAUUCUUAAUAGCUUGCUUUGAAUACUCAUAAUAUUUCUUUCUCUGCCUUUUAUUGGCCAAAUUAGUCUUAGACUCAGCAGAUUCGAAGGGAAAGAAGGUAAGUGCCACCUGUUUAUGGGAGAAACACCAUGUACAUAUACGGAGGGGCAGAAAUUAGAGACUCACUUUGGAGAAUAAUUUUCUGCCAUAAAAUUUCUUUAUGAAAUAGGAAAUUGAGGGCGAAAAAUAACACAUGCAUCACAGAAUUGGUAUAAAAAUCAUAUUCCUGGCACAUAACAAACAGUUGAUACAUUUUUUGAAAGAUUUUUUUGAUGUGGACCGUUUUUAAAGUCUUUAAAAUUGUUGCAAUAUUACUUCUGUUCUGUUUUGGGGUUUUUUUGGCCACGAGGCAUGUGGGAUCUUAGUUGCAUGACCAGGGAUCAAACACACAGCCCAUGCAUUGAGAGAUGAAGUCUUAACCACUGGACUGCCAGGGAAGUCCCACUACAUUUUAACUAAUUUAACUAAUUUUCAUUGCUAUGAGAAAAUGAAAAAUUCCUGCAAAACACCAAGUUGGAGAAGAACAUAAUUUUUCCUCCAUGGAAAUUAUAUUUUCUCAUAAUUCCAGUUAGAUGAUUUUACUGGUUAGUAUUUCCUUUGAUAUCUUUAAUUGCCAUAUUCUCUUUGCUUCUACUUAACUGACAAUUUUUCUUUUUUAAAGAUCUCAAACCAGCAGUCCUUAAAUGAAAGGACUAACCCACAGUUUUGAGGGGUAAUGACUUUUGGUGUCUCUGUUGUAAUCCUUUUUCUUUUUAUACUUUGUUGCAGGUUUUUUUUUUCUUCUUGAUAUCACUUUUCAGUCCCGCCACAUUACGCUUUGAAAAAGCAGCUCUCUGUAGAGAUACAAUGAAUGAUAUUGGAAUGACAUGCCCUGGAAGCUGCUCCUGGUUCUCUCUUUGGAAACUCCUGUGCAGUUAGUCCUCUAGGAAGUUUACAGGUCAGCAGAGGUCAUCAGCCAGAUAAAUCUGAAGAAUAACCAGUGGAGCUAGAUAAAUUCAAGUCAGAAACCACAACAACUUACAAAAAUCACUACAUAUGUCAUAAAGAAGGUCAAAUCAGAAGGCCGAGAGCAUUUAAAGGAGGAAGAGAUUAUGUCCGGCUGGAGGAUCAACCCCCUCCCAAUUUUAGGCUCCACUCUGAGCCACAUUAAGCUCAUGUAUCUGAGUAUCAUAUGGAAUCUGGAAAGGACUUGGAAACAGCUUACCUAAGUUAAUUGAGUUGCUGAAAUUUUAUAAUAUUACCAUUGGAAUAUUGGAAUUGUGCACCUGGAAGGAAUGUCUAGAAGAACUUCUCUUAUAGGACUCCUUUCUGUAAGAGAGAAAUAUGGAAAGGCCUUGAGUGAGUACAAUGUACAGUUUCUUCAGGGGAACUUCAAAGGUGAGUCAUUUGAAUGAAAUGAGUUUGCGCUUCCUCAGCUGGUAUUCGCCCUACAUUGCGUUGUGUCUAGUAUUUCAUAUUUCCUCACUGCAGAUAGUGUCACCUGGGGAUUACCUGAUGUAUUUUAGGGAGUUUGUAACUGUUUCUCUGGUAAUCCAAUCCUUUCUGUUUUCUCUAGACAGUCUUCAAAAUUUCUGGUUCAUGGAUGUCACUUCGCUCUUACGAACGGGGUUUCUGUUCCUUGAACGGACCAAGCUCAGACCACUCUAGACAUUUGAACUACUUCCUCUAUGGGGAAUAUUCUAAGAUUUUUGGAAGUCUGUAUCUUUGGAUCAUUCAAGUCUCAGGUCACAUAUUUGUUGUUGUUGUUUAGUCUCUAAGUCGUGUCCAGCUCCUGGCAACCCCAUGGUCUGUAGCCCCAAGGCUCCUCUGUGCAUGGGAUUUCCCAGGCAGGAAUACUGGAGCGGGUUGCCAUUUCCUUCUCUAAGGGAUCUUCCCAACCCAGGGAUGGAACCUGCAUCUCCAUUGGCAGGCCGAUUCUUUACCACUAAGCCACAUAUGCCUCCUCCAAAAGGACUGAAGGUGGGAAGAGAAGGGGCCGACAGAAGAUGAGAUGGUUGGAUGGCGUCACAGACUCGAUGGACUCACUGGAUGUGGGAUAGUAUGGUAAUGCGGUCUGCUGCUGGAGGUUUCCAUGCAUUUAAGGCAGUGAAGAGGGAAAUAGUGAAGGUCAAGUGACUCUUAACUGAUGUUCUUUUCUGACUGUUCCUAGUUCUUCAGGUAACUGAUCUGCUACUGAUGCGGUCUAUAAGGCAAGUGUUUUACCUGUGGGCUUGGUUUAGGAAAACGUAGGAGAAAGGGAAGGCAGAUUAAGGUUUGGAUGCCAGGAAAGAUGACAUUUAUGGUAGGGGGAAAACUGGAAGAAAGAGAGCUAGUUCAGGAUAGAUAUAAUCCAACAGACAUGACAGAAACUCUUACAUGAUGAUUUAAAAUGGAAAGACAACUUUCGCUCUGUGGAGCUGAUGUGUUCCAGCUAUUGAUUCUAAAAUGAACUCAAUUUUCCUUCUUAACUGCUAUGAUAGAAUCAAGGAUGUAUCCCCACAAGGGAAAAAGAAAAUCCUCAAAAGACUCAAUUAAAACUUUAGGUGAAGAUGUAGUUGAGAGGGUGGCCAGCGCCCCGGGUCCUGUGGGAUUGUUGUCCGCUUUGUGGCUCACUUCCCUUUGCUGUGAUUUACAGACUCCUGGGUCUCCCCGAGGCCCUCGGGCCCACCCUUGCUUCCUUUGGGAUAGGAUGGUCGUGCAUGUCUCCUGUCAGAGAAGUGAAUAUUCAGUCCUGAAACCCUGGGAGUUCUCUUCUGGUUGGCUAUGCAUCUUUGCAUUCAGGUUUUAUGCCUUUGCUCCACUGCCACUUCUCACCUUUAGAACAUUUCUACAAGUAAAACCCACAUCAGAGCAUCCAUGUGGGAUAAUUCUGACCAUAUCUCUAUCCCUUUACAUGAACAAAAAUCCUCCCCAAAAUUGUCUGUAGACAUAUAUGGCAUCUUACAUUUUAUCAAACACUUAGCUGCUGUAUCAUUUUGGCAUUCUCUGUGUCUAUAUAAAACACUCUGUUGGUCUAUAAAGAGAAGGCUGUCUUUGGAACCAGUUCGCAGAAAACUCAAUCAGGCAAAUGCCAAAUUAUGUCCCUAACUCUGUCCCCUGGGUGAUUGGAUCUUGGGCACCAUGAGAGUUACUGAGGUUCGGAAGGAGAACAUACCCAGCAGAAACCAGGAGAACAGAGAACUUGGAGACACCGUGGGAGAGAGAAGAGGCAUAAGGAGAGAGAAAGGGUACUAGCAAAGAUGGGGUUGCUCUAGAAAUACUCUUGCACUGGCUUCUGUGCAGGAAACCUGUAAUACCAAUCCCGUUGAAAAGACUGGGUCAAUAGAGUCACCUCCUGAACUCUCAGUUUAUAGCACUGUCACUUUCUCUAACUUUAUUACAGCUGAAGGAAGGAGUCCUGUUGAUACAAAACAUGAUUACAGCUCUUUUGGAAAAGAAGAAAAAGAUUUUCACCAACACUUCCCAUUUAUUGUCACUACCAUUUUUUCCCCUGUCCUGCUCUCUCAUUCUUGGCCCACAUAGGAAAUCAGAAGGUAAUUUAAAAUUCAGUGAUGAGGGCUCGGAGCUUAACACAUUUAGAAGAAGAGAGGAAAGAAAAGCGUCACAUCUGGACAGGACUGGGAGUGAUGUUGGAAAGCUUGCCAAGGAGGACCAGAAGAGCUGUUGGCAAGUGGCCUCAUGGUGCCGUGUGUGACCACAGCAGACCCCCAAGACGUUAUCUUUUCUCAGGCUAUGGGAUAGUGACUGAAGUCAUGGAAGCAUGGGAGAGAAGUUGAGAGAGAGUUUAUGUGUUAG
ensembl:lncRNA